UACGAAGGGUGCAAGCGUUACUCGGAAUUACUGGGCGUAAAGGGUGCGUAGGUGGUCGUUUAAGUCCGUUGUGAAAUCCCUGGGCUCAACCUGGGAAUGGCAGUGGAUACUGGACGGCUAGAAUGCGGUAGAGGGUAGUGGAAUUCCCGGUGUAGCAGUGAAAUGCGUAGAGAUCGGGAGGAACACCUGUGGCGAAAGCGGCUCACUGGACCACAACUGACGCUGAGGCGCGAAAGCUAGGGGAGCAAACAGG
rnacentral:rRNA from 1 species